AGCUGCAGGAGAUCAAAGUCUUCCAGGAGAUGCAGCUGCUUCAGCUGUCUGCAGACAAUUAUCACCUUCAGCCUGUGGGGCAAUUUUGGGUCUGCCUCCAGUUAAUGGAGUGGCUCAGUAAGACUGAGAGUGGCAGGAGCAUCCCUGCGAGAGGCCUGACCCAGGUGUGUAGCCCAAGCAGCCAGCCCGGAAAUCCAAUGGGGUGUUCUUGGGGUGCAGAGGAUUUGUGACAGUCCAUACACAGAAAAAGGAAAAGGUGGCUUUGAAGAGGCAAGUGCAAAGAUACCAGAGAUGGGGUAUUGUCAUUUUAGGCAGUGAAUUGACGGUUUCACUUACCAGGGAGCUCCCAUCGUGAGCUCCCAAAAGGCCUAACAACUGCUAGGCCCACGGGUCAUUAGCUCCACCUUUACGGAGAAGCUGCACUAUGCAUGUCAGAAGCGGGGUAGGCAGGGAUGAGGGAAAGGACGGGAUAAGGAAAGAAAAGAUGUGCGCUGAGCUGAGCUGCGGGAGGGUAAACCUAACUACGUAACAAUGAGCAGGCUGUGAGAGGCUCCUUGCCCCUUGCAGAUUUGUGAAAAAUCAAACUUCCGCCCAAGAAGCCGGCAUUUCAGGUAGGGGCGAUGAUGUCACAAUCACAGGUUGAGAUCUGCUGCCCAGGCCAUGCUUGCUCCCCGCAGGCAGGCGAGAUUUCGGAACAGCCAGGACCUCCUCCGCAUGGGGGAACCGCUCUAGACGCUCAGAGGGGCGGAGUUGAAACGGGUGCCAUCGCCGUACAUCCUGGGAGCUGUACUCUCUUAAUCGCUCCUAGCCCCUUAGUCCCACCUCCGACUGAGCAGCUCGGUUUCCUCUCUUUAUCCUUACCCGCUGGUCUUUCCAUGACAUCGCGCCGCCUCCAGCCCAGGGAGCCGCCUGCUUUCCUAAAGUACUACGGAAACUGGCCUGAUGUCUGUCUGAGACAUUGUACAUUGUGCCACUGGCCUCUGCUUACUCCAGGCAGAGCUCCAGUUCAGCAGCAUUUGGGAGAAAUUUGCUGCCUGGGCCGCCCGUAAACAACUUGAGCUUUGCAGUGGGUAACAUGGGCUGUGGUUUGGUGAAAAUGUCGACCUCACUGACCCCUUUUUCGUGGAAGUGAAAGUUGAGACAUGAGGGACAGUAAUUAUUGGCACACUGGGAUCUGCUAAAAGCAGAGGAGAAAGCCCCAAUAUUUCCAGGCAUGUGUCUGGUGGGCCAUUUUCACCUACCCAUUUACGGAUCUAGGCCUCCAAAAAAUCAACCUAAACAUGAUGAUUGUUUUGAUAUUUUACACGUGUAACCAUGGGCCUCAUCUCACCUUAGACCUGACUGGCCAGUGUCUCAAAGACGUGGAUGGUGACCAGCUCUCUCCAGAACAGAUGGCGCUCCAGCUUUGUGGGAGAAACUUUCAAGUUGCAAGUUGGAUUUGUUACUCUCAUAUGUGGAUCUGGUUUCCAGGUGGUUUGGUGACUCUCAAACCAUGAUUCAGCAGACCUGUGAGGCUGUGAGUUCCCUAUCAGAACACAAUCUGCAGGUUGUAUUGUGCCAUAUAUCUGUGUCCAAAUUAUAAGCACAAUGAUGAAUCUUUUACUGGGAGUCAAGAUAUGUGCAGGAUGGUGAAACUUAUCACUGGACCUUUCCACAGUGUUAUUGUCACAUAUACCUUUGUCCAACAUGUGAGUGAUUUGACUCUGCAGACUGGGUCCAGUUCACAAACAAAAUUGUGCCAUAUACCUGGGCCAAGAACCUAAUAGGUAUGACUCAUGUGCCUGGGCCCUGCCUUCAGAAAGAUAGUGACAUUACACUGCACCCAGCACCUAAGAGGUGUGAUUCUCUUCUUCUACAUGGGGCCUGCCCACAGCAAGACUUGUGACAUAUCAAUGGGUGAUGUGACUAUCAUUUUUCUUCCUGGGCCCUGCCCACAUGGAUAAUUGUAACAUAUCACUGGCCCCAACUAUUAGGUGAUGUGACUCUCUUGUCUGGGAUUUGUCAACAAAGGACAUUGUGACAUAUUUCCUUUUUAUUUUCCCAGAUGGAGUCUUGCUCUGUUGCCCAGGCUGGAAUGCAAUGAUGCAAUCUCAGCUCACUGCAACCUCCAUCUCCCAGAUUCAAGUGGUUCUCCUGCCUCAGCCUCCCAAGUAGUUGGGACUACAGGUGCUGCCUUCAGGAGGGAUUAUGACAUAUGCCUGGACCAAACACCUGGAUGACGUGACACUCCUGCAUGAGCCUUGCCCUAAGGGGAUAUUUUUACAUGUUGGUGAACUCAGCAUCUAGGUGAUGUGACUCUACUCUUCUGCCUGGGCCCUGCCCACAGAGGGCAUUGGAACAUUUCACUUGGCUCAGCACCAAGAAGAUGUUACUCUCCUACCUGGACCUCUCCCACAGGGGACACCUAGAUGAUAUGAUUUUUCUUCCUGGUUCCUGCCCAGACUUCAAAUUGUGAUGUAUAUCUGGGCCCAAAACACAGGUAAGGUAAUAACUCUCAUAGCUAGACCAAGACAAUAGAGAGAUUUUGACUUUUGUAGCUAGGCUUAGAACAAUGGGUACAUAUUCCUGGCCCAGCUCCCAGGUGAUAUGACCCUCCUACCUAGUUAGUGCUCACAGGUGUGAUUGUUACCUAUGUUUGGACUCAGUUCAUUGUGAGCAUUGUGAUCACUCAUACCUGGACCUAGCCACAAAAAAAUAUGUUGACUCUUAUACCUCAAAAUAGGAGACUCAACCCACAAGAGGUGUUGACUCUUACACCUUUUGCUGGAAAAUGUCCAGGAUUGUGAAUUUCUGCUAUUGAUUGGGUCCAGGUAUGAGUUUCAUUGCUGUGCCUGAGCUGAGUUCAAAAUAAGUCACUAUCUCACCUGUGGCUGCAUCUACAUAUGACAGUCACAAUUCCAAGUCUGGAUUGCAUUUGUGUAUGAGACUUAGGACCUCACCAGUAAGCACUGUCUAUGUGUGAGGGUGACAAUUCUAUCAGCUGGAAGUGCAUAUGAGAGUCACAAUGUCACCUUUGUUCUUGGUCCUGUUAUGACAUUGUAUCACUUGAAGGCUUUAUCCAGACCCAGGACCUUGCCUGUUGCCCUAAGCCUAGAUAUCAGAGUCAAAAUCUGUUCUCUUAGCUGGAUCCAGGUAUGAGAGUCAACAUCUCACCAGUGAGCUGUGACCAUGUAUAUGUCACAAUUUCACCUGUGGGCAGGAACCAGACAUGAGAGUCAUAUCACUUGGGUGCUGGGUAAGUGAUACAUUACAAUUCUUACUUUGGGCAGGGUCCAGGCAACAGAGGAGAGACACAUCACCUAUAUGAUUGGCCCAGCGAUGGGUGAAAAUCCUCUCUGAGAGCAGGGCCCAUUCAGGAGAGUCAUAUCACCUAGCUGCUUGGCCAAGUGAAAUAUCACAAUGCACCCUUUGCACAGGGCCAAUACAGGACAGUUACAUCACCAGGGAGCUGGGUCCAGCUAUAUGUCACAAUUCCUUUUGUGGAAAGUGUCCAGGCAGAAAAGCAGAGUCACAUCACCUAGCCAGUGGGCCCAGAGAGAUGCCACAAUGCCAUUUGUAGGCUGGGCCCUGGGAGAAGAAUAACAUCACCCAGUUCUGGGCCCAGCAAUAUGUUGUGAUCCCAACUGGAAAAAGUUUCCAGACAAGAGAGGAGAAUCACAUCAUCAUGAUGAUAAGCCAAGAGAUUUCACAAUCCCCCCCUCUGCACAUGUCCCAGGCAGAAGACCUGAAUUACCUUUUUACUUAGGCCAGUAAUGUCACAGUGCUUCCUCAGGGCAGGGCACAAACAAGAUAGGACAGUCACAUCAUUAAGUGCUAGACUUAAUGCUAGAUAUGUCAUAACCUUACUUGUGGGCAGGAUCCAGGAAGGAGAGAUUUAUGUCACCUAGGUGCUCAGUAAAGAGAUAUAUUACAAUUACAAUUCCUUUGAGGGAAGUGGCCAGGCAAAAUAGUCACAUCACCUAGGUGCUUGGCCCAGGUAUAAGUCACAAGAUAUCUGUGUGUUGAGCCCAGAAGGACUAUCAAAUUACGAAGUUUCUACGUAGAAGUGCAUGUCACAGACACCUGCAGGAAGGCCCAGGAAUGAGACUCCCAAUUCCACACAUUUUCCCACUCCAAGUGUAAGAGUCAACAACUCCUGAGACUUAGGCCCAAGUACAUGAGUCACAAUCUCAACAGUGGAUUGCAUCCUGCCAUGAGAGCCCCAAUCCCUUCUCUAAGCUGUGUUCCAGUAGAGGAGUCACAACAUCAAUGGUGUGCUGAAUCCUGGUUGGAGAGUUCCCACUUCACCUGUGGACUGGAUCUGUAUAUGAGAGUCUCAAUUCCAGCUCUCAACUGCCCCUGGGUGUGAGAUUCAGGACCUCAAUUGUGAGCUGUGUACACAUGGACAUGUAACAAUUUCUACUUUUGGCUGUGUGUUCAUACAAGACUCAAUCUCAUCUGUGUUCUCGGCCCUGUUAUGACACUCUUUGUACCACCCAUGGGAUUUAUUCAAUACGCAUGGGUGUCAUAAUCCUCUGUGAUCUUCAUACAAGUAGAAGACCCAGGACCUUACCCAUGGCCCUAGGCCUAUCUAUGAGAAUUGACAUUUUUCCUCACAUUUUUAAUUUUAACAAAUAAGUUAUUCUCCUGUCAGUUCAGAUUCAUCAGGACAUUGAAUCAUAUUCAGAAGAAUUAAAACUGAAAGACUAAUAGGUUUGUUAAAGCAAUGCAGGUUGUCAUACUAAUAAACCCUAAAAUUUCAAAGGCUUAGCAAAAUAAUACAUUUUCUGCUUACAUCACCAUCCCCUUUGGCUUAUUUCUGGUUAAGAGAACUUCUUUGUGAUUAUUCGGAGAUUAGAUUUUUUUAAAAUUUCCUAUCUGCACUCUCUCUUUCUUCAGCCAAUAGAUGAAAAAAGAUGCAAAGAAGACACAUUUGCUUUUUAUGCACACAUCACUUCCAGUCACUAUGUUGAGCAGAGUCAGUGUGAGGACAAUUGAGAAUAGCAGUUUUCUGGCAGGACAGCCACUUCUCAGCAGAAGAUGACACAAUAAAAGUAUAAAUCUUUCAUGGGAGGCUCACAUAUUUUCAGCAAAUUAAGCAUAUGCAUGAAUAAAAUUCUUGUGGUAAAAUAAAGAUGCAUUUUGUUGAUUCCUAUGGAGCUCAGGUAAUAUUGGAUAAAAAGCAAAAAAAUUAUUUGAAAUAGUAAUAUUGUGAAUGAAGUUAU
rnacentral:lncRNA from 1 species